rnacentral:rRNA from 1 species
GACGUAGGGCGCGAGCGUUGUCCGGAUUUAUUGGGCGUAAAGAGCUCGUAGGCGGCUUGGUACGUCGAAUGUGAAAUUUUAGGGCUCAACCCUGACAUUGCAUUCGAUACGGGCAGGCUAGAGUUCGGUAGGGGAGACUGGAAUUCCUGGUGUAGCGGUGAAAUGCGCAGAUAUCAGGAGGAACACCGGUGGCGAAGGCGGGUCUCUGGGACGGUACUGACGCUGAGACGCGAAAGCGUGGGGAGCGAACAGG